CUACAUGAUGAAUUUUGUCUUAUUACUAUUUUUCUGGUACCUCUGUAAGUCGAAUACCACCAUCGUUUGUCGAAGGACAUUUUACUAAUAAUUUUCAUCAGUAUGUCAGAGACUCUCACGAGCCUCGAUGAUCUAAAUGGACUUCUGAUC
rnacentral:snoRNA from 1 species